UACGUAGGGGGCAAGCGUUGUCCGGAUUUAUUGGGCGUAAAGAGCGUGUAGGCGGCCAAAUAGGUCGGUUGUGAAAACUGGAGGCUUAACCUCCAGACGUCGACCGAAACCAUCUGGCUAGAGUCCGGAAGAGGAGAGUGGAAUUCCCGGUGUAGCGGUGAAAUGCGCAGAUAUCGGGAAGAACACCCGUGGCGAAGGCGGCUCUCUGGGACGGUACUGACGCUGAGACGCGAAAGCGUGGGGAGCGAACAGG
rnacentral:rRNA from 1 species